rnacentral:rRNA from 1 species
UCAAAAACAUGUCUUAAUGAAUUUAUAUUAAGUCUGACCUGCCAAAUGAUUUAAAUUUAAUGGCUGCAGUAAUUUAACUGUACAAAGGUAGCAUAAUAAUUAGUUUUUUAAUUGAAGACUAGUAUGAAAGGUUUAACGAAACAUUAGCUUUAUUAUAAUAAAAAAUAUAAUUUUAUUUUUUAGUGAAAAAGCUAAAAUUUUAAUAUUAGACGAGAAGACCCUAUAGAUUUUUAUAGUAAUUAUAGUAAGUGUAAUAAGAAUUUAGUAUAUUUAUUUAUAUGUCCUAUUUUAUUGGGGUGAUAGUAAAAUUAAUUUAAUUUUUAUGUUAUUUUAACAUUGAUUUAUGGUUAAUUGAUCCAUUUUAUGAUAGUUAGAUUAAAUUACCUUAGGGAUAACAGCAUAAUUUUUUUGGAAAGUUCUUAUUGAUAAAGGAGAUUAUGACCUCGAUGUUGGAUUAAGAUUAAUUUUAGGAGUAGAAAUUUAAAAAUUAAGUCUGUUCGACUUAUAGAAUCUUACAUGAUCUG